rnacentral:rRNA from 1 species
AGAGUUUGAUCCUGGCUCAGAUUGAACGCUGGCGGCAUGCUUUACACAUGCAAGUCGAACGGCAGCACAGGGAGCUUGCGUCCCGGGUGGCGAGUGGCGCGACGGGUGAGUAAUACAUCGGAACGUGUCCUGUUGUGGGGGAGUAACUGCUCGAAAGGGUGGCUAAUACCGCAUGAGACCUGAGGGUGAAAGCGGGGGAUCGCAAGACCUCGCGCAAUUGGAGCGGCCGAUGCCCGAUUAGCUAGUUGGUGAGGUAAAGGCUCACCAAGGCGACGAUCGGUAGCUGGUCUGAGAGGACGACCAGCCACACUGGGACUGAGACACGGCCCAGACUCCUACGGGAGGCAGCA